rnacentral:lncRNA from 10 species
CUUAGAGGUCACCUUGUCUGGAUACUUCCUUUUACUGCUAGGCAAUAUGGCUUUAUAGUCAGGAUCCUGGACCUCAAGUUUCUGGGCCUCAGUCUCCUUAUCCCUAAAAUAAAGAUAAUAGUGAUACUGACAUAACAGAGGUGUUGUGAAGAUUGAAUGAGAUGAUGCAAGGGAAGCUCUUAGAAGAGCACUGGGCACACAGUAAACAGCCAAUAAAUAUUAGCUGUAAUCAUUGGAGGCCCAGGGGAGAAGGGACUUGCUCAAGAUCACACAGCAACUCAGAGGCAGAGCUGGGGUUAGACCAAGGACGCCUGCCUCCCAGCCUGGGCCCUUUCCCAUUCCACUCUUCCCUCUGUCUUCCUCAGAAAAAGAAAAUAGUCCCAGAGGGAACCAGGAUACUUUUCUCACUGAAUCAUUUAGGAUGCAAGGAAGAGGUCACCUGCUUUAGAGUGGCUUAAACUUUUUAUUUUUUAAUGAGGCCAGAAGAAGUUGGAAUGAGGAUUGGUCUGCUGAUUCAACAAUGUCUUUGAUGACCCAGGCAUUUCCCAUUCUGAGCCUCGAGGGUGACUACCCCUGUGAUUGCAAGAUGACUGAGUGCCAUCAGGAACCAUGUCCUCCCAAGCAGGGAGAAAGGGCAUGGUAGCAAAAAGGGUAUUCUCCCUUCACAUCAUUCUCUUAUCCAGGAGAGAAGCUUUCCCAGCAGACUAUCCCCAAACAUGUCAUUGACUAAGACGAGGUCACAUGUCUACUCUUGGACCACUUUCUGGCAAAGGGGAAGGCAUUUCCAUUGCUGCCUUGGAUCAUCCCUGUGGCUGAGCACCUUGCUACCAGAAUGAAGAAGAGAGCAUUUGCCAUGGGAAGGCAACCAAUACAACCUGCCAUACUCAUCUUCUGUUUUCUCUCUGGAUUGCCCUCCUACCUCCUCUCCAUCUCCGCCAGGAAGUCUUCCCUGGUUGCCAGGGCCUUGUCCGGCACACCCUCUUCUAAUGUAAUUGAACAUUGUUUAAUUCAAGUUACAUUUCACUUUGCCAAAGAUUUCUCACCUUAUCAUGUCCAGAUCUUAUCUUCUCAACCAGGCUGUGAUAGGUCAUUGCAAGAGUUAUAGCAGCGACUAAUGAAUAAGUACCUACUGUGUGUCAGGCACUGGUCUGAGUGCUUGUUGUAGCCAGCUUCCAAAUGGCUCCCAAUGAUCCAUACCCCCUGGUAUUCAUGCCUUUUUGUAUUCCCCUCCCACAUUAUACCAGGGUUUGUCUACAUGACCAAGAGAAUAUGGCAAAAGUUACGGUAUGUUUCUUCCAAUAUUAGAUCAUAAAAGGCACAUGGAAUCAAAGCUUUUGGUCAACUGCCAACAAGGUACAGAGGCCCAACAGCAAUCAUCGAAUGAACUUGGAAGUGGAUCCUCUCACCCCAGUUGAGCCUUCUGAUGACUGCAGCCCUGGCUGAUGCUUGACUACAACUUCAUCAGAAAUCCUCAUGAAGAUCCAGCACCUUCCAGUUAGCCCAUCUAUGAGAAAACCAAUGCUCCGAUGAGUGCAGUGACUUCCCAUGCCUGGUAAGUGGCAGAGCUUGGAUUGACCUUCCUGUCUGUUGGAUUCCAAAGCAGAGGGACCUGGGUUCUGUUUUCCCAGCUGGAAUGUCCCCAGCUGCAGGAUGAAGGCUGAGGAAAUGGGGACAUAAAAAGGAAACCUCUUUCUCUGAUGUGUUUUCUCUCCUCCCCCCUUUUUUCAUCCCAACCACAUUAGUUAGCACUUACUACAUCUAUUGUACAUAUGUGAUUCAGGGACAAGUAGGUUUAUUAGCAACAACAUGGGAGCCUUAGGAGGGGGAUACCUGGGCUCUUGAGUGACCUUGGGCAAGUUUCUGCACUUUUCUGGGCCUCAGUUUCUUUACCUACUACAUGGCAAUAAUAAUCCCUUUCCUGCCUUCUUCACCAGGAAACCAUGAGGACGGGGUGUAAAGGGACUGUGUAAAAUGUGAAAUGUAGUGAACACUAAAAGGUGUGUUUGGACUAAGGAGCACCCCUGACCUAGGGCUCAGACCUGUACAGCCACCUCUGUACAGAGGUGAGGGCUCCCUCUCCUCUCUCACCUGGGGCUAGGUUCGGGAGGUGGACAACACUGAGUGGCAUUGAGAGCAUCAACCCACUUUCUUCAGCCUCACCCUCUCCAUGCCUUCUCUCUUAGGCCAUGCUGCAGCCCUGCUAAACUAGUGGAAAUACCCCAAGCCUGCCAGGAGGUUUCUGUCUACUUUGUCUGUGCAGUUUCUUCUGCCUUGACACCCUUCCCAACUUCUCUUCCUGGUGCAUUCCCACUCGUCUUUCAAGACUGACCUUAGAUAUCCCACUUCUAGGAUGCCUCUCCUGACCUGGCUGUAGUCCUCCUACUUCUCUUGAUUGUUGCACCUGCCCCCUGCCUGAGCUCUUGGCCUUCAGCUUCUCUUUUCCACUCAAAGCCCCCAUGGUGCAACCAGCGGCCUUUCCAAAAUGCAAAUCUUGUCAUGUCACUCCCUGCUUAAAAUAACUGGCCAAUGGAAUAAUCCAUCAAUCAGUGCUUCAGGGGUUCCUCCUUGCCCUCAGGGAAGCAUCCACACCUUCAGCUGGGUCUCCAUGCUUGGUCCCUGCUGGUCUUUCCAGCCUCUGCUCUCUUCUGUCUCCUGAUUGCCCUGCACAUGCAGUGCCCUCCAGCCACAUUGCUCUUGUCACUGUAUCUCAGACACACCUCUCUCUAUCUUUGCUCGUCCUGUUGUUUUUCCUGCCCAUUUCCACCUUGUCCACUUGAGGAAGUCCUGCCUAAUCCUUAACACCAGGUCUGAUAUAACCUCUUGGAAGCCUUCCCUAUUGGCCCCAGGAAGAGUCCUUGGCUUCCUCUUCUUCCCUCUCCUGUAUGACUACUCAUGCUUUUGUUACUGUUUGUCGUCUGUUUACACUGAGAGUUUCCUGAGUAGAGACUGUAUCUGACACAUGGUUGUGUCCCCAGCAAUGCCAGGAGAAGGGCACAGAGCAGACAUGUAGGAUAUGUGUUGCUCAUGUGAGUGGCUGAAUGAAUGAAGGAAGGAAGGGUGAAUGAAUCCAACCUUGAACCAUCACUUCUUGGCCAGCCCUAGAACUGCUGUUUCCCAGGGUAAGCCCAUUUGAUAGCCAAAGGGGAAGUAGAAGGGAGGGACUGCUCUAGGAGGGAGAAAGAAAAUCAAUAAAAAUGUAAAUCUGGUUGAGAAAAGCUGUCCCAAGCUGGCUGUGGGGAGAGAUAAGACUGGGCUGGCUGAGCCCUGGCUGACAGUGGAGGAGAGAUUGGGGACAACGGAGCUGUGGCCAGGGUAGGGCAAAGGAGGUGUGUUCCUCCCUCUGUUGUCACUUCCCCCUCCGACUCUGAUGCUCUAUGUGUUUAUGAAAUUUUUUCAGGGACAGAAGGGGAAGGGAGCUUACAAAUCCUGAUCAUCAGGUGUGGUGCCUGUGAGCAUGUACAUGAUCUUACCCGGUCCUCACAGCUUCUGGGAGAUAGGAGCUAGGCAUGCUCAACCUCACUUGCAGUGGAGAGUCUAUGCCUUUGAUUGGAUCCCCAGAGGUGGUUUUCACUUGCCCCCCAUUGCCUAUACCAUGUUGCCUUCCUGGAGUUGGUGGCCUUUGAGCUGGGCCUGGAAGAUUGGGUAGGACUUUAUGAAGUGGGGAUGGAGAGACAAGCUGUGCGAUGGGGAUGAAGAAGAUAACCCAGGUCAGAGGGAACAGCAUAAGCAAAGGUAUGUGAAGGGGAAAGAAUUCAACACCUCCAGGCAAUGGUGAGGAUGUCGCUGAGUUCUCUUUCACUUAUCUGCAUGUCAGUCAUGACCCCUGGAUGCCAGCUCCUGAUGGGUCAUCUGCCUACCCUAGAACUUCCCAGCAUCUAGCAUCCCAGACCUUCCCAGAGUCUACAAGAAAAGAAACCUAGGCAUCAGGAUGUCAGUUCUGGUCUGAGUCCUGUCCUCUGCUGACUUUACACCAGCACAAUCUAGCAGGGAGACUUAAUGUCUUCUCCUCCCAGCUUCCUGGUACAGUGUAAGAAAGUAAGCUUGCAGAUGCAAAUGCUUGUGGCUCUUCAUUGACCAGAGGCUAUAUUAGGGGAGAGGACUUCCCUGGGACCCCCACAGGGCCUGGAAAACCCCUCUGGCCCUGACUUGCUCCACCCCUUGGCUCUUGACCCAUUUCUCUCUUGGGUAACUCCUGAGUCUCCUCACCAUGUCCAGUUUGGAAGACUUUAGGCACAAGGACCUCGUCUUUUCCUUCAGAUCUUGGCUCAACCAAGAGGCGGACUCACCGUGAUGUGAAUGCAGCUUGAGCAUCCAGGACUCUCCCCAGAUCCAGGGAGGGCCUCAGCGAUGUGUUCACGUUGUCAUAUUUUUAUAAAAUUUGCAAAGGUAAGAUACUUUAACCACAAUCAAAAUUACUAUUUUCUUCCCACUCCAACUUCCCUUGUGUUUCAAUUUUCCUUUAUGUGGGAUAAUUGGAGUGGCCAUGGGCACUUCUGGGAUCUGACCAAGGGGAAGCUGAGUGGGGGACUGAUUUGAGUUGGGUUCACUGGGAUAUGUUUAUGUGGUUUUCUGAAACAGAGGAUAUAUUAAUAUUUAUGUGGUUCUCUGUGUAUAGAUAAAUCAUUGCUAGUAAUCUCUGUGUAGAGAAUAGCUUCUAGGAAUUCUACCCACUGCCCAGCUCACUUGGCAUGGUGAUAUUAAGUUGCCAUAUGCAGAGGUCAUAUCGUGAUAUGAAUGUGUGUCAUGGCACCCAGCCCAGGAAGUAUAUGGGCAGUAGACAAGAAACAGGAGAAACCAGGUUUGAAAUGUACAGAGCCAGAAGCUAGUCUGUGGAAAAUUCUUCUAAUCAUCAGGGGGAGAAAAUGUGUCUCAGAGGUUAAGCAGGGCAGUUAAUAAAAGUAUUACGCAUUUUGGGGGGAUUGUGUGAUGUAUCUGUUUUGAUUUCUUUUCUCAUUAUAGGUAAAUAUAGGUACCUUGUACCUAAUUUUAUAUUCAUAAUUUUGUAUAUUUUUCUUAAAGAGGGCUCCUCAAAUUAUAAAACCUUCAGUUCCCACAAGGUCUACACAUCCAACCUUGGCUCCAUCAUUUAUUUUCUGUGUGAUCUUGGGGAAGUCACUUGUGCUUUCUGAGCCAGUUUCCUCUUCUAUAAAAUGUGAA